AACGAACGCUGGCGGCAUGCCUAACACAUGCAAGUCGAACGAACCCUUCGGGGUUAGUGGCGCACGGGUGCGUAACACGUGGGAAUCUGCCCUUUGCUUCGGAAUAACAGUUAGAAAUGACUGCUAAUACCGGAUAAUGUCGUAAGACCAAAGAUUUAUCGGCAAAGGAUGAGCCCGCGUAGGAUUAGCUUGUUGGUGGGGUAAUGGCCCACCAAGGCGACGAUCCUUAGCUGGUCUGAGAGGAUGAUCAGCCACACUGGGACCGAGACACGGCCCAGACUCCUACGGGAGGCAGCAGUGGGGAAUAUUGGACAAUGGGCGAAAGCCUGAUCCAGCAAUGCCGCGUGAGUGAUGAAGGCCUUAGGGUUGUAAAGCUCUUUUACCAGGGAUGAUAAUGACAGUACCUGGAGAAUAAGCUCCGGCUAACUCCGUGCCAGCAGCCGCAGUAA
rnacentral:rRNA from 1 species